CUAAUGCCAUACCUCAAUAGUCUUAAAACAUGAGUAAACACCAUGAUUAACAAGUGCAAAAAAAAUAUCGCAUCACCAUAUGUCCUUGUUCAAUAGUGAUAGCACAAGUCAUUUCCAAAUCUUCACAGGACGGAAGAGGCGAGGCCAAUAGGUGGAUUCAACCAUUUCAACAUACAAGGGAAGCUUUAGUACUGCAGACAAUAUGACAGGGAUGACCACCAACAAAGUAAUGGGGAUGUUAAUCCACUUCCAUCGUUUGCUUAGGACAAUUACAAGAGCAGAGCCAAAAGCCACGAGUAUGAAGACGAAAGAGAGGAAGAGAAAAGUGAGGCCCAGUAUCAUUUUUCUUGGUAGUGAAUGAAGAAAAUAUUCUGUGGCAUAGCGUGAGGUUAGGAUAGCCAAGAACAUCGAGGUGGCGGUGACAGAGGAGAAGAGAGAUAAAGCG
rnacentral:lncRNA from 1 species